AAAAAUCCUUCAUGAUAUUUAAAUUAUCAUUGUGCCCAUCAGAAGAAAGACACUCACAGGUUUGGAACGACAAGAGGGAAAGUAAAUGAUGACUGAAUUUACAUUUUUAGUCAGUUUCUUUAACUCCUUCUUACUUGCAAGCACUGUUAUUUACGUCAGGAAAAUUAAACCUGUAAGCAAACGCCCAGCAUUUAUUGUAGGUUCAGUCUAAUAUUCUCUGUUACCUAAUAUUUCUGUCUGAACUCAUUAAUAAUAUAGAAUCAAAGAAGCAACUCAACUUUCUAGAAGCACAUUACCAAGUAAAACACUUUGCAUGGUCACUAACGGUCAAAUACAGGCCUACAGAUAUUUUUGUUGGCUCAGUGUUUGUAUUUUUGCAUGUUCACAUGCAGGUUAUUUCCGAGCGCUCGGUGCUCCUGGCUGCUGAUUGGCUAGAACCAGGAUAUCACAACGUUGAAGAACCAUAUAAAUGCAUUCCGAAGUUCUGAAGUCUCAUUAACAGGAUUUAUACCAUCAGUAUUUUUUGUCGAUUUCAUUGAUCUGCAGCAAUGCAUCACUUUCUUUCUUUACUGUUAGUCAUUAUUGGGCUACAUGUGAGCGUUCAGACAAGAAUUCCCAGAUCGGUGCUGACUGUGCCAAAUGGGGUCUCGUGGGGGACAUGGGAUGAAAUAAAAAUGUGUCCAAGAGAAAAGUACGCCAUAGGGUUUAUUCUAAAGGUGUAUAGACCUUCCUCUAAUGCUGGGGAUGAUAACAGAGUACUCACUGGGAUUCGUCUUUACUGUACCAAUGUCUUCAAGGACUCAUAUUUGGACUACAGACAGUCAGUUCAGUCAGAAGUAGACCGCUCCGGUCAGUGGAUAUUUAAUAGACUGGAUGGAUUUUGUUCUUGUGUGUCCUUAUUGACUGCUUUUCAGCUGAGAUUUGAAGACGGCAUGGCCACAAACAUCAAGUGA
ensembl:lncRNA